AAACUAACAAGGAUUCCCCUAGUAACGGCGAGUGAAGCGGGAAGAGCUCAAAUUUGAAAUCUGGCGGCAUCCUGUCGUCCGAGUUGUAAUCUAUAGAAGUGUUUUCCGCGACGGACCAUGUACAAGUCCCUUGGAACAGGGCGUCAUAGAGGGUGAGAAUCCCGUCCUUGACAUGAUCUCCGGUUGCUAAUGUGAUACACUUUCAACGAGUCGAGUUGUUUGGGAAUGCAGCUCAAAAUGGGUGGUGAAUUCCAUCUAAAGCUAAAUAUUGGCGAGAGACCGAUAGCGAACAAGUACCGUGAGGGAAAGAUGAAAAGCACUUUGGAAAGAGAGUUAAACAGUACGUGAAAUUGUUGAAAGGGAAACGAUUGAAGUCAGUCAUGCUCUUUGGGUUAAGCCGUUCGCGGUGUAUUCCAUUGAGUGGGGUCAACAUCAGUUUUGACCGCUGGAAAAAGGCACGAGGAAGGUAGCACUCUCGGGUGAACUUAUAGCCUCGCGUCAUAUACAGUGGUUGGGACUGAGGAACGCAGCAUGCCUUAUGGCCGGGAUUCGUCCACGUACAUGCUUAGGAUGUUGACAUAAUG
rnacentral:rRNA from 1 species